CAAUAGCAAGCCCUAAGUUUAAGGUCUAAUUCUCUGGACUCUGUGGUGUUCUUUUAUUCAGUAACAGUUUCUAAAAUUUAUAAUUUUAAUGAGCAAACAAACAUAAACUUUACUGAGCAUCAACAGUGUGCCGUGAGCAUAGCAUAGAUCAGGACUGUAAAGGUUCAUAUGCCAUGAACCUGUCUUCAAGGUGCUCACUAAGGGGGGAGAGAAGCGUGUGUGUGUGUGUAUGUGUGUGUGUGUGUGUGUGUGUGUGUGUGUGUGUGUUACCACUAGAGGGUAGUUUCCAAACUCAUAAUUGUUAAAGUAAUGCAUGUUAUCCCAACUUCCAUUUCUAAUCUCCUCUCAACCCACAGGUCAGGGAUGACUAUGUUGACAUAAUCUUUCACUUUCUCAACUAUGAUAAUCACAAGAAGCUCUGGCAUUGUCUUUUAAAGAUGUGUCGAUGAAGACAUUGUCAUCAUUGUGAAUUACUUCAAGCAUCAAGGAAGUCCUUCCACGUAUUCUUUCUGGCAGAGAGCAGGUUCUUACCUCUGGAACUAAAAGCAGGUGCAAUGGAUUGAAUAAUUCAUAGAUAGACAGUCUCACUCAGCCUCACAUACACCGGCAGUUCUGCAGUGGGGGCGAUUUUGCCCUCCAGGAGACAUUUGGUGGCAUAUGAUCAAAAUUUUAUUGUCACACUGCGGAGUGUCCCUGGCAUCUAGGAGGUAGCAUCUGAGGAUGCUACUGACCAGCCUGCAGUGCACAGGAUGGUCCCUGCAACAGCUGAUGCAGCCCAGGAUGUCCGAGUGUUGAGGCUGAGAGCCCACGGUUAACCAUCAGUCAGAGGCUGGAGGUAUCUCGGCAGAACAUUCACACCAGACGUCUCCUUCACAGCCAUGCCCAAGCACGUCUACUGCUAUGACAGCAAAGUGACAGUGAAACCCGCCUCUGCCUUCCCAUCCUUUUCAGGGACACACAGCACUCUGGUGCUGGCGUGGAGCCUGAACGCGAGCGGAUUCAAGACACCAAGAGUUAGAGGUAAGUGUGCAUUCCUUUGUGUUUUAUCACUUCUGUACAAAAUACGGAGGAGGCCUGAUGCAAGAUGAUGUUAAUGUAGUUUCAUCUUUUUUUUUUUACUCUAAUUGUUUCAUUUAUUUAUUUACUUAUUCAUUUUUCCACUCAUCUAUUUUUAGCUGCUUCAAUAAAGAUGUCCUUGUCUGAACAUCCCAAACAAUUCUUUCUUCAAUCUGUAUUGACCCAAUUAGUUGCUUCUCAGCAAUAUUUGUCUAGUUAUGUACUAGCUUAAGCCUCCCCCCAAGUAGCUGAUUUAAUCAGCGAUAUUCACAAUUAGAAUUGUUUCCUUCUAGAAGCUGAAAGUCUGUGGUUAAUUUAACCUAGAGGGCGACUUAUUUUGAUGGCCUGAACCUUCUGCCUUGGUUCAAAUGAGUAUUCUGAGUCUUUGGACCAUGGCUGCUACUUUCCCCCGACAAUGUGAAGUGGAAAGAGAUUUUCCUAUUUUACAUUAAAUGAAGGAUGUGCUGAAUAUAAUUUCCUCACCUGUAAAGAAAAACUUUCUCAAACACAGUCUCUUCGUGAUCCUAGAAAUCACCAGCCCAGGUCAAUGCAUCUUAGGUGAGUAUCUUUGAAUCAUUCUCAGUAUCACGUGGGCUACUCUGCCAUGCCACGUUCCUGAUGUCUCAAAGCCUUUACAUUAGAGAGUUUAUUACCAUUUUUUUAAAAAGCCAACCAAUGCAUUCUUGAUCUAUAAUGUCUUUAUUUAAUAAUAUAAUUUGAUAAUAGACUCCAUCUCUUGGGAUGGAAAUUGAAUUUCUCCAGAAGCAGAACAUAGAGACCUUUAUGUGGGAAUGUUGCAGACCUGCAGAUACUUCUCCCUCAUGAAGCUGAUCCCUAUGAGUCUGCAGAUAUUUCUCGCUCGUGAAUCUGAUCCCUGCACUUCUUUGACAGCAACAAAUCCUGUCUUAAUUCAGGUGCUAGAGAGGCCAACAGAAUUGCCUGACUUUAAACCACUGUUCCCACGUUCCCAGCUGCCUUUACUGGUCUCAUCUUCCUAUUGCCCACUACACAUGGAAUUAUCCUGUUCUAUGAUUGCUUAAUUGAAUUCAGCUCAUUUUAAAAAUU
rnacentral:lncRNA from 10 species